AUACUUACCUGGCAGGGGAGAUACCAUGAUCAUGAAGGUGGUUUCCCCAGGGUGAGGCUCAUCUAUUGCACUUUGGAUGUGCUGACCCCUGCGGUUUCCCCAAACGUGGGAAACUCGACUGCAUAAUUUGUGGAAGUGGGGGACUGCGUUCGCGCUUUCCCCUG
rnacentral:snRNA from 1 species